rnacentral:rRNA from 1 species
GAUGAACGCUGGCGGCGUGCCUAAUACAUGCAAGUCGAGCGAAGCGGGGACGGGUGAGUAACGCGUAGAAACCCUCCUAAACGAAUGGAUUAACUUCGGGAAACAGGAGCUAAACCGGCUACUCGUAUGUGGAUCAUCGCUGCAUUAGCUGGUUGGUAAGGUAACGGCUUACCAAGGCAACGAUGCAUAGCCGACCUGAGAGGGUGAUCGGCCACACUGGAACUGAGACACGGCCCAGACUCCUACGGGAGGCAGCAGUAGGGAAUCUUCCGCAAUGGGCGAAAGCCUGACGGAGCAACGCCGCGUGAGUGAUGAAGGUCUUCGGAUCGUAAAACUCUGUUAUUAGGGAAGCGGUACCUAAUCAGAAAGCCACGGCUAACUACGUGCCAGCAGCCGCGGUAAUUC